AUAAGACCUGUGGCGGCUCCACUGAGACCCACACGUGCAACUCCGCGCCUCCGCGUUAAAGGAGGUGAAACGCAGCAGCCCUGAGAAACCCCGAGACCCCGGUGUCCUAGCAGAGGCGCCCCGGAUGGGGAGGGGCGCGGGGCCGGCGCCACCCCAGAGGAAAAGCCCAGCGGAGCCGGGUUGGGCAGGAGCUGGCGGCGGCGGUGCGCUGGGCCUUCUGCCUUGGAUCCUCCGCGGUCGGCACCGCUUCCCUGCUCAGAUUCGAACCCAGAUUCGGCUCCCAAGGCUCCCACGGCUCCAGGGUGCCCAGUCUUGCAGCCAGCUCGCCGCCCGAGCCCCGGAUGGAGGAAGCGCUCACUGGCCGCUACCUCUGCUGUUUCUGGCACCAGAGAUUGAGACUGUGAACCUGAACUCCCUUGAUCUCCUCCCGUUGGGCCCAGGAGGGAGCCGAAUCCAGGCCCAACCGGGCUCACUGAGAAGAACCUUUAAAAAUCCGCCAACGAAUGCUGUUGCCUGGAUGCGCUGCCUAUGACCUUCAGCCGUGUGUUCACGCGCGCCCGCAGCCGUGGAGUGGCGGUCCCUCCUGCCGCCCGCAACCCCGGGGCCGCCGGUCUGCGCACACCGGGAGCAACUUCGUUACCCACAGCGCCCGCGUCCUGCGGCUCGCGCGGAACUGCGCGCGGGAAGGUGGCAGAGCGACGCUCCAGAACGCUGCUUGCGUAGACGCUGCCGCUGCCUUCAGAUCCCAAUUCGGCCGCGCGCGGGCGGGGCCCUGGCAGCAACGAAAAUGGCGAGCCUCGUAGCCUUCCGGGCCCGGCGGCCACAUUCCGGGAGUCGCCAGGUGGGAGCCCGCCUUCCGUGUCCCCAAACGCCCAGAGCCCGGGACACGGGCCGGCGGCCGGGUCACCAAGCCAGUUCCCGGAAUCGGCUCGCGCCGGAAUCCAGACUCGGCUUGCAAAGCCCGCUCCUGCCGUCUCUCCGCAGCGCGCCCUGCCCCCCACUGCCGGCCCUCUUAGCUUCAAAACCAAAUUUUGCCUUUCAUCCUGAGAGAUUAAUACCCCGCAGGUGAAACCGUGGAGACGGAGCUGCGGUGGGUUUCUUUUCCACGCCUCAGUUUCCUCGUCUGUGAAAUGGGACCAGGCGCGCCUGUGCUUCUCCGGGAGUUUAUUGCAGGGCUGGCUGGAGAGAAUGGCUGGGUGGAAGCUGCCAGGAGGAGGCCCAAGGCCGCCCACCCCGUGGGCCUCGUUUGCUGAGCGGGGGUCAGAGGCGUGCGGGACAGGGCGCGCCCCACGGCGGCUCUGGAGGCGGCCCGGCCCGUCCCUGUCUCCUCCCCUCGCUCCCCCUCCCCCGGCCUUCCCGGAACUCUCCUCGCCCGCUGGGUGGAGGAGGGGCGAGGGCCGACUCCGCCGCCCCUGGGGUCUCCCUCCUCCCACCCCCACCGCAGAGUCUGGCCCGCCCUGGGCUUUCCUCUCAGGUCCCUUUGGGUCUCCAGAAGCCCGGAGGUUUCGCGCAGACUCGAACCUGAGAUGACACCACCCAGCACCCCAAAUCCUGCAGAGUGUGGAGGGGAUCUGGGGAGAAGGCAGGGGCUGCCCGGGCGCUCUGGCUGCUGGGGGUGGGGGACAGGGCCUGCCGGGGAAGCGGGUCGGGGGAGGACUGGAGACCCAGGCUCCCCUAGGUACAACGAACCUCGCGGGAGGGAAUACGCCAUCCCCGUACCCACUUCCGAGGACGUAGGUCUUUUGGCACCGGCGGCAGCCGCGUUCCCACACAUCUGGGCGGGGCCCCGCAGCAUGGCCUGGGGAGCUGAGGCUUCGGGAUCCGGCACAAACUACCAUUCUAGGUGUAGACGGAGGAGGUGGGGUGUGGGAAGCAGGGGGCCAUGGUCUGAGCAGACCUUCUCACCUCUGGGCCUCCCACCUCCUGGGGCAGGACUUACGGGGAAGGACCCGAGGGGAGUGGGGUGUCCAUAGGGACACCCAAGGGUCUAUCCCUGCGAGCUUUGCUUUCUACUAAACCAAUAAUCGCAGUGGUGGUGGCAGUCGAGACACGGCUCAAAGAGCCGGCAAGAAUAGAGCAGAGACCAGGAUCGCCCCAGGCAGGGAAAAAAUGACCAGUUCUGUAGAGUGACCCGAAGGUGAUGGAAUCACUCGGGCGUCCUCCUGGGAAAGAGCUGCCUGCUCCCCCGCCGCCGCCAGUACACCGGCGCCCAUGCCCCGGGGGCUGGAGAGAGCAGCCAGGCACAGGUAACUCAAGAACUCCAGUCCCCUCACGGGUGCCGUGCUGUGGGGCGCCCUCACCCCCACACUUUGGGUCCCUGGGCCUCCUCAUCAAAGCAGGGGCCUGAGUGGCAGGAACACCCCUGUGUGCAGAAUAGUGCCCCCUGCAGCCCCCACAGGUCACCUCUUUGAGGACCUAGGUGGGGCCUGCCCUGGGGACUGGGGUGAAGAGGGCAGGUCCAGCCUUCAGCAGCCCCUCCCCCAUGACUUCAGUGGAAUUACAAGGGGAACACCCAGGGCAGCUCCCGUAGGCUGCACAAGGGAAGAGGGGAGGGCUUCUACUGAGGUGAAACAGUGACCCACCCCUCCCACACCGUCAGCCUCCCUCCCCUCUCCACCCUUCAGUGCUGGGACCCCAGGGCCCAUAGACAGCUGGGGGAGUGGGGAGACAGGAGGAACUCAAGCUCAGCUUCUGCCUCCUGUCUCCUGGGACCCUCGGGCAGCCCCUCCAGCUUCCUGGGAGUCCAAUUUCCCAAGGUAGAACGGUGGCGGCAGAGCCUGGCCCUGUGGUGGGGCAGCUGCACCCCGAUGAGUGGCUUGCAGUUCCUGGAGCCCUGCAGGUUGUUGGAGAGGCAGGGAGCCCUUCUCCCUCCUGCCUGCCCUCUUGCACUUCCUCUCCCAGAACCCAGCACUACUCCCAGAGGCUCUGAGCUGGAGCCCUAGAAGGUAACCACCUCCUGGCUGGACACAGGGCAAGUUGGGGCCAGGCGUGAGGACAGGUGCCCCAGGAGCCACCUGCUCCACUCAUCCACAAAGGCCUUAACUGGCUCAGGGGCCCCUAGCUCCCAGUCAAGCCCUGCCCUCCUGACCUUGUCCUGCCCUGGUGCUGCCAGUCGGGUGGAGAUGUCUAGGGGCCAGCUGGUCUCCUGGCAACUGAAGUCCGCGCUUCCCUUCCGUUCACUCAUUCCUUCCUUUCCUCAUGCAGGAGGCGCUGCAAGGCUCCGUGCUCCUGGAGCUUCGAGUCUAUGGUAUGAGUUAAACAGAAGGGUAUCUCCUCCAUCAGAUCUACAGGAGGGUGUCUGCUCCAUCAGACCUGGAGCUUCCAAGGCAUUUUACCCGAAGCUCCAGCACCUGGCCCAAGGCUGGGCUGUGCUGUGUCCUCAGUGAAAGAAUGGAUGAGUCACAGCUGAAUGACUGAAGAGCUGAACCAAUGGGAAAACUGAUGCUCAGAGGCUUGAGCAACCUAGGCCAGGACCUGUCCUUAGAGGCAGAAGCAGGACUCAGAGGAAGAGCACCCUGACCACAAAGCCCCAGGGUCCAGAAAGACUCAGCCACUGGAGUCUGUAUUUCCUGAGUCGCCUCUCACUGCUGGAGCUGUUUAUCAUCGCUCCAACUUUCACUAAAAAGGAAAAACUAUCACUUAAACAAAGCCAUUGAAACCCCAGCAUCAUGUGUGGAUUUUUUAACAUAAAUAAAUCAUACAAACUAA
rnacentral:lncRNA from 10 species